rnacentral:rRNA from 1 species
UACGGGGGGGGCAAGCGUUGUUCGGAAUUACUGGGCGUAAAGGGUGCGUAGGCGGCUUUCUAAGUCGGAUGUGAAAACUCUGGGCUCAACCCAGAGCCUGCAUCCGAAACUGGAAAGCUAGGGUUCUGGAGGGGAAAGCGGAAUUCCUGGUGUAGCGGUGAAAUGCGUAGAUAUCAGGAGGAACACCGGUGGCGAAGGCGGCUUUCUGGACAGAUACCGACGCUGAGGCACGAAAGCUAGGGGAGCAAACGGG